AUAGCAAGGGGGGAGCUCGAAGAGUGGUUCUGAUCUCUGGUACGGGAACCAGCUGGUGGUCUCCUCACUGAAGUUGUUAUAGAAGCAUCUGAAGUAUUCGGCUACCUUGGUGGCGGUGAACUGGCAACCAGAGAAAGCCGAUGCUGCUUCGUCGAAGGAGGUGCAUCGACGCCGUACGGUGGGGUUUUCCGCUGACUCAAUGUUGGGGAAAGUCA
rnacentral:lncRNA from 1 species